UACGUAGGGUGCAAGCGUUAAUCGGAAUUACUGGGCGUAAAGCGUGCGCAGGCGGCUAUGCAAGACAGAUGUGAAAUCCCCGGGCUCCAACCUGGGAACUGCAUUUGUGACUGCAUGGCUAGAGUACGGUAGAGGGGGAUGGAAUUCCGCGUGUAGCAGUGAAAUGCGUAGAUAUGCGGAGGAACACCGAUGGCGAAGGCAAUCCCCUGGACCUGUACUGACGCUCAUGCACGAAAGCGUGGGGAGCAAACGAGGAUU
rnacentral:rRNA from 1 species